GAUUCUUCGGCGCAUCGUCCUUUCCUGCAGCCUAUUGCCCAAUCGGCCAGUUGACUCUGCAACUCCGAUAUCCUUGGCAUAAUACCCGCUCUUCUUGGCCCGAUGCCCGAGUCCACGGCCCGAAGCCUUCUAUCGAUACGUCGAUCGAUCCACCGGCCCGACGUCCAAUCUUCUGACAUGUUCCUCCGGCACAACAUGAUUUU
rnacentral:lncRNA from 1 species